GGCGAACGGGUGAGUAACACGUGGGUGAUCUGCCCUGCACUUCGGGAUAAGCCUGGGAAACUGGGUCUAAUACCGGAUAGGACGAUGGUUUGGAUGCCAUUGUGGAAAGUUUUCGGUGCAAGAUGAGCUCGCGGCCUAUCAGCUUGUUGGUGGGGUAAUGGCCUACCAAGGCGUCGACGGGUAGCCGGCCUGAGAGGGUGUACGGCCACAUUGGGACUGAGAUACGGCCCAG
rnacentral:rRNA from 1 species